rnacentral:lncRNA from 1 species
ACAAAUCAAUUCCACCAACAAAUUUAGGAAAUUAUAGCAACAAAUUCAACAAAUCGAUUCCACCAAUAAAUUCAGGAAAUUCCAGCAACAAAUUCGAACAAAUUCAAAAAGUCGAUUCCAGCAACAAAUUUAAGCAAAUCCUAACCAAAUCAAGAAGCGCUAGCUUCUCCUUCAAGCUACUCACGCAGGCAGGGCAUAGGAAGAGCCAGAGUUGCGGAAAACGGCGAGAGGUAGGGCGAGAGCGAGUUCCCGGAAUCUAGACCGGCCGGAGCACUGGCAGUGGACGGGAACUUGUCGGUGGUGGAGAUUGAGGAGAUGAAGGAGGGGAGCGCGUCGAUUGGGAGCGUCUUGGCGAUUUCGAGCUCAGACGAAGGCGAUGAAUUUUGGGAGGCGGCGCCUUAGGGUUUCGAGCUCAGGGGGAGCGACGCGGCGAAAUCAGUGAGGCGGCGACGACGACGAGCUAGCUGCUGCCGGAGAGGUGAAGGGGAAGAUGGGCGUAGGUCGGGUCCUAGCCUCGCCGGAGGAGGAACCACGGCGGCGGGUUUGGUGAGAGAGAAGAGGUGAGAGUGAGAGACGAGAGGUGUGUGAGAAAGGUGAGAG